ACUCCUACGGGAGGCAGCAGUGGGGAAUUUUGGACAAUGGGCGAAAGCCUGAUCCAGCAAUGCCGCGUGAGUGAAGAAGGCCUUCGGGUUGUAAAGCUCUUUUGUCAGGGAAGAAACGGUGAGAGCUAAUAUCUUUUGCUAAUGACGGUACCUGAAGAAUAAGCACCGGCUAACUACGUGCCAGCAGCCGCGGUAAUACGUAGGGUGCAAGCGUUAAUCGGAAUUACUGGGCGUAAAGCGUGCGCAGGCGGUUUUGUAAGUCUGAUGUGAAAUCCCCGGGCUCAACCUGGGAAUUGCAUUGGAGACUGCAAGGCUAGAAUCUGGCAGAGGGGGGUAGAAUUCCACGUGUAGCAGUGAAAUGCGUAGAUAUGUGGAGGAACACCGAUGGCGAAGGCAGCCCCCUGGGUCAAGAUUGACGCUCAUGCACGAAAGCGUGGGGAGCAAACAGGAUUAGAUACCCCUGUAGUCCCAUGAU
rnacentral:rRNA from 1 species